UCGCACGUUGUGCAGGCAAGCAGGAAUAGAACAACCUGCUGUGUUGUCCAAUUGUG
rnacentral:pre_miRNA from 1 species